GACGAACGCUGGCGGCGUGCUUAACACAUGCAAGUCGAGCGGUAAGGCCCUUUCGGGGGUACACGAGCGGCGAACGGGUGAGUAACACGUGGGUGACCUGCCCUCAGCUCUGGGAUAAGCCCGGGAAACUGGGUCUAAUACCGGAUAUGACUUCAUGACGCAUGUUGUGGAGUGGAAAGCCUUGUGCGGCUGAGGAUGGGCCCGCGGCCUAUCAGCUUGUUGGUGGGG
rnacentral:rRNA from 1 species